rnacentral:rRNA from 1 species
GAUGAACGCUGGCGGCGUGCCUAAUACAUGCAAGUAGAACGCUGAAGGAAGGAGCUUGCUCUUUCCGGAUGAGUUGCGAACGGGUGAGUAACGCGUAGGUAACCUGCCUGGUAGCGGGGGAUAACUAUUGGAAACGAUAGCUAAUACCGCAUAACAGUAGAUGUUGCAUGACAACUAUUUGAAAGGGGCAAUUGCUCCACUACCAGAUGGACCUGCGUUGUAUUAGCUAGUUGGUGAGGUAACGGCUCACCAAGGCGACGAUACAUAGCCGACCUGAGAGGGUGAUCGGCCACGCUGGGACUGAGACACGGCCCAGACUCCUACGGGAGGCAGCAGUAGGGAAUCUUCGGCAAUGGACGGAAGUCUGACCGAGCAACGCCGCGUGAGUGAAGAAGGUUUUCGGAUCGUAAAGCUCUGUUGUAGGAGAAGAACGAGUGUGAGAGUGGAAAGUUCACACUGUGACGGUAUCUUACCAGAAAGGGACGGCUAACUACGUG